CGCCUGGCUCUGGAAGAGGAGGCUCCCGGGGCGGGGCGGGGCGGCAGCUCCCUGGGCGAGGCCAGGCCUGGGGGACGGGUGGGUCCGCUAGCUGCAGCAUUCAGCAAACGACAAAGGCACACCUCUCUUACCUGGAACAGGAACCAGCCGGCUUCUCCCACUGCAGGGGGCAGGCCAACACCGUCCCACCGGCGAAGGAACAGAGGGGCCCAGGCAGGGCCCCGCCCCAGGGGCUGAUGGGAGCUUGACAGUGCCUGUGAUGCUGCAAGGACGUGCCAACACGGACCAACUCCCUAAUCAUUAAAAAACAAAACCAAACCAACUUCUCAGGAAGGAGUUUGAAAACGAGAACCCUCACUGAUGUAAUUCCCACACUCCACCUGCUCAGGUAAUGGCUCUCUCCCAUUCACACCCCUAAUAGCCAUUGGCGAGAGUCCACAGUCUCACCAGAAUUUGGGCGGACUGUUAAUUUUCACUAGUCUGAUAAAGUGACCCAUUAUACAAUUAUGGUUUAAAUAUUACAAAUUGGGGUUUAGAGGUUAGGGUUACAAAUGAGGCUGAACAUUUGUCCAUAUAUUUCUGAGCCAAUAUUUGUAUUACCUGUUCUUGGAAAGGUCUGUUUGCGUCUUUUCCUCAUUUUUCUCUUGAGAUGUUUGUUUUCUCAUUGAUUUGAAGGGGUCUUCAGAGACACGAAUCACGGACAGUAACUGACCUGAUCAGGCCGCAGAUCCCUCGCCCAUUCUGUGGCUUAUUUUGUCACGUUCUUUAUUGACUUUUGGUAAAACAUGUUGAAUUUUAAUACAGUCAAAUUAAUCUGUUUUCUUUUAUGGCUUUGCUUUUGACAUCUUAGGAAAUCCUUCCCUACCUCAAAGUAAUACAGAUAUUUUCCUAUUCUAGCAUGUUCUAAGAUUUAUAGCUUUGCCACUUCUAUAUA